AUUGAACGCUGGCGGCAUGCCUUACACAUGCAAGUCGAACGGCAGCACGGGAGCAAUCCUGGUGGCGAGUGGCGAACGGGUGAGUAAUAUAUCGGAACGUGCCCAGUAGUGGGGGGAUAGCCCGGCGAAAGCCGGAUUAAUACCGCAUACGACCUGUGGGUGAAAGCGGGGGAUCGCAAGACCUCGCGCUAUUGGAGCGGCCGAUAUCAGAUUAGCUUGUUGGUGGGGUAAAAGCCCACCAAGGCGACGAUCUGUAGCUGGUCUGAGAGGACGACCAGCCACACUGGGACUGAGACACGGCCCAGACUCCUACGGAGGCAGCAGUGGGGAAUUUUGGACAAUGGGCGCAAGCCUGAUCCAGCCAUGCCGCGUGUGGGAAG
rnacentral:rRNA from 1 species